rnacentral:lncRNA from 1 species
AAAUUGGUUCCUGUGCUACCGAUUUAGGUUCGAACCUGCGGGGUCACACACAUUAGAGGUUUCUUUCUGAUCUGAUGGCUGAUUAUGAGUCUUAUCUGUCUGAAACUCUAUGAUUGAGAAUUAAGAUUCUCUGAUCAUGAGUUCCACACAUUUUGGGUACCGAGGUCAAAAUUUUGAAUUUUAAAUUUUGAAUUUGAAAUUUGAAUUCUUUGAUCAGGAUUUCAUAUCGAUGGUCUCUGAUGCCUGAUUGCCCAUCGGAUUUGGACUCAAUAUUUAUGAGAGGUUUAAUUAAUGAUUUGAUCAUUAAUUAACCUAAUUUUAUUGAGUAAUUAUUUUUGGAUCAAGUCCAAUUGAAUUGGAUUCAGUUUGGAUUGACCCGAUUAGGUUAAAUGUUGACCUAAUCGCUAAGGUGGUUUAGUCCCUGAUUUGAUCAGGGGUUAGGCUUAGUUAAUUCCUGAUUUAAUUAAGAUUUUAUUGAGCCUAAUU